rnacentral:rRNA from 1 species
AUUGAACGCUGGCGGAAUGCUUUACACAUGCAAGUCGAACGGCAGCACGGGAGCUUGCUCCUGGUGGCGAGUGGCGAACGGGUGAGUAAUAUAUCGGAACGUAUCCAAUAAUGGGGGAUAACUAGUCGAAAGAUUAGCUAAUACCGCAUACGCCCUGAGGGGGAAAGCUGGGGAUCUUCGGACCUAGCGUUAAUGGAGCGGCCGAUAUCUGAUUAGCUAGUAGGUGAGGUAAAAGCUCACCUAGGCGACGAUCAGUAGCUGGUCUGAGAGGACGACCAGCCACACUGGAACUGAGACACGGUCCAGACUCCUACGGGAGGCAGCAGUGGGGAAUUUUGGACAAUGGGCGCAAGCCUGAUCCAGCCAUUCCGCGUGAGUGAAGAAGGCCUUCGGGUUGUAAAGCGCUUUCGCAAGGGAAGAAAACUUAACCUCUAACAUAGGUUGAGGCUGACGGUACCUUGAUAAGAAGCACCGGCUAACUACGUGCCAGCAGCCGCAGUAA